rnacentral:rRNA from 1 species
GACGAAGGGGGGCUAGCGUUGUUCGGAAUUACUGGGCGUAAAGCGCGUGUAGGCGGUUGCCCAAGUCGGGUGUGAAAGGCCUUGAGCUCAACUCCGAAACUGCAUUCGAUACUGCGGUGCUUGAGGACUGGAGAGGAGACUGGAAUUUACGGUGGAGCAGUGAAAUGCGUAGAGAUCGUAAGGAAGACCAGUGGCGAAGGCGGGUCUCGUGGACAGUUCCUGACACUGAGGCACGAAGGCCAGGGGAGCAAACGGG